UACGGAGGGUGCAAGCGUUAUCCGGAUUCACUGGGUUUAAAGGGUGCGUAGGCGGGAAUGUAAGUCAGUGGUGAAAUCUCCGUGCUUAACAUGGAAACUGCCAUUGAUACUAUGUUUCUUGAAUUUUCUGGAGGUCAGCGGAAUAUGUCAUGUAGCGGUGAAAUGCUUAGAUAUGACAUAGAACACCAAUGGCGAAGGCAGCUGACUACAGGGAUAUUGACACUGAGGCACGAAAGCGUGGGGAUCAAACAGG
rnacentral:rRNA from 1 species